GCAAGUCGAACGCGAAAGUACCUUCGGGUGCGAGUAGAGUGGCGGACGGGUGAGUAACGCGUAGGAAUCUGCCUAGUAGUGGGGGACAACCAGAAGAAAUUCUGGCUAAUACCGCAUACACCCUACGGGGAAAAGAGGGCCUCUUCUUGAAAGCUCUUGCUAUUAGAUGAGCCUGCGUCGGAUUAGCUAGUUGGUGGGGUAAUGGCCCACCAAGGCGACGAUCCGUAGCUGGUCUGAGAGGAUGAUC
rnacentral:rRNA from 1 species